rnacentral:rRNA from 1 species
AACGAACGCUGGCGGCAUGCCUAACACAUGCAAGUCGAACGAGACCUUCGGGUCUAGUGGCGCACGGGUGCGUAACGCGUGGGAACCUGCCCUUAGGUUCGGAAUAACUCCCCGAAAGGGGUGCUAAUACCGGAUAAUGUCUUCGGACCAAAUAUUUAUCGCCUUUGGAUGGGCCCGCGUUGGAUUAGCUAGUUGGUAGGGUAAAAGCCUACCAAGGCGACGAUCCAUAGCUGGCCUGAGAGGAUGAUCAGCCACACUGGGACUGAGACACGGCCCAGACUCCUACGGGAGGUAGCAGUGGGGAAUAUUGGACAAUGGGCGAAAGCCUGAUCCAGCAAUGCCGCGUGAGUGAUGAAGGCCUUAGGGUUGUAAAGCUCUUUUACCCGGGAUGAUAAUGACAGUACCGGGAGAAUAAGCUCCGGCUAACUCCGUG